rnacentral:rRNA from 1 species
AUUGAACGCUGGCGGCAGGCUUAACACAUGCAAGUCGAACGAGUGGCGGACGGGUGAGUAAUGCUUGGGAAUCUGGCUUAUGGAGGGGGAUAACGACGGGAAACUGUCGCUAAUACCGCGUACCAUAGGUUGAGCCCUAGUGGGAUUAGGUAGUUGGGGGGGUAAUGGCCUACAAAGCCGACGAGGUAUAGCUGGUCUGAGAGGAUGACCGGCCACACCGGGACUGAGACACGGCCCAGACUCCUACGGGAGGCAGCAGUAGGGAAUAUUGCGCAAUGGGGGAAAGCUGACACAGCCAUGCCGCGUGAGUGAAGAAGGCUUUCGGUUUGUAAAGCUCUGUUGUUGACGAGGCGUUACCCACAGAAGAAGCACCGGCUAACUACGUGCCAGCAGCCGCGGUAAUUC